GGUCCCGUAGCUCAGUUGGUUAGAGCAUUGGUCUUAUGGCCCAGGUGAGAUUAAGCCGAAGGUCGCGGGUUCGAGCCCCGCCGUGACCA
rfam:Picea glauca, whole genome shotgun sequence.